GAUGAACGCUGGCGGCGUGCCUAAUACAUGCAAGUCGAACGGACGGACGCGACGCUUGCUUCUCGGAUGUUAGCGGAGGACGGGUGUGUCACGCGUGGAUCACCUCCCUAUAAGUCGGGGAUCACUUGGGAACACCGGCGCAUAUCCCGGAUAAUCUUUUGAACCGCAUGGUUCAAUGGUGAAAUACGGCCUUGCUGGCUCUUAUAGAUGGAUCCGCGCUGCAUUAGCUAGUUGGGAAGGUAACGGCUUACCAAGGCAACGAUGCAUAGCCGACCUGAGAGGGGGAUCGGCCACACUGGAAGGGAGACACGGCACAGAGGCCUACGGGAGGCAGCAGUAGGGAAUCUGCCGCAAGGGGCGAAAGCCUGACGGAGCAACGCGGAGUGAGUGAUGAAGGUCUUCGGAUCGUAAAACUCUGUUAUUAGGUAAGAACAUAUGUGUAAGUAACUGUGGACAGCUUGACGGUACCGAAUCAGAAAGCCACGGCUAACUACGUG
rnacentral:rRNA from 1 species